ACAGAGGGUUUGCAGUUCUGCCUUCUGAGUCACCAGGAGUUUCAUGACAGUGGCCAUGAGGAGCAAGAGUUGCUUGCCAGCUCCUUCUCUUUGAAGGCUGGCCAUUAUGUUCCAGUGUCACAGCUUGAGGCAGUGUGUGGAUGUGACUUCCUGCCUGACUCUGGAUGAGCUGGGAUGUGCAGUACGUACAAGGUGCUUAUCUUCAGAUGCCUUAAAGUGGGAAGGACGUCGACACCUGAAAUUCAGCAAGACUGUAAGGGCUCUUCCUCCUCCAGCCGAAGCCCGGCAAUUCAGAAGUCCGUGUUCGGAAGGACUCCUCAGCUAUUCUCUUUGAUCCGGCAGCCAGGAGAGGGAGCUCGGCAUCCUACUCCCAGGCUCCACUCGCCCAACAUCACUGAAGACAAUGUUGAUGAUUCUUUUGUUCAACAAAUAAAAGAAGUGGUUCCCACGAGGGAGCCGUGUUGGCAGCUGCUUUAUGCGGGCUUAGGGGAAUUGCGGAUAAUCGAUGCUUGCCAAAGGCAAAAUGGACAGCACCAGUGGAAGAAAACAAAACUAACUCUCAGGCUGCUAAGAGAUUAUUGCAUGCAGAGGGACCCGUUUUGGAAGUCUGGAGUGUCUUCAGUCCGCACAGCCACCAAUGGGAGCAUCAAGCACUCAGGACCAGUGGAAGGGCAUGAGGCUCAACUUGGCACCUUGGACUUCCAUCACCAAAAGCCUGAGGAAAGUCCUCUUGGUAAAACCCUGGGUUCUCUCCAGGAGCAGUGGGCACUCACAGUCCUACUUGAGCUCAGCGAGGGCAACUGGAUAUUCAGUGAUUUUUAUAUUUCAGUGUUGAAGCAUGAGGACAGUCACCUAGCUUUUGGUGUCAGGAAGUUGAACGUUCAAAGCAUCAGAAUGGAAACAGAUUCCCAAAUGUACUGAAUGUUGGUGGAAAGAAAGCACUUUAUAAACGGAUAAUUAUUCAGUGCCAGUCUGCCAGGACUUCAGUAGGAUUUCGAGUGAGACAUUUCUAUAGAUAAAAGUAAUUUUUAAGAAGAGUUCCAUACUCUUAGCACAAAACUUUCUGAGUUUAGUGAUGCCAUUUUAACUGGUUCUGGCUAUUAAUAGUGCUGUGAUUCCUGGGUUUGUUGGAAAUGUGAUCCCCACAUCCAGAGAUGCUGGCUCACCAGCUGUCAUUGGUCCUGGGGGUAUCCUUUCCUGAUGUAGUCUUGGUUCUGUUUCUCCUGUAAAUGUCUGUAUUUGUAUACACUGAUCCCUAGUGAUGGAUUUCUUCAUGGACUGUGUUCCAUCAGCCAUUCCCAGAGCUGCUGUAACAGCACAAAUACACAUUCCAGACACAUUUUCAUCCAAAUCUAGUGUGGGUGAGGACAGAGCCUGGGACAGCCAGCCUAAUCCUGACAGAUAAUUUUUCCCUGGGGCUAGGGUGAAGAAAAGUUAUUCUGAGAGUGCCAGAUGGGCUAUGGAAACAUCCUAACAAUACCUGUAAUUAACAUAUCCAGUGCUCCUUCACCUAAGAGCUUUCAGGAUGACUCACACACCCACCCUACAGAUCCCUGCAGGGUCAGGUGCUGCCUAAGCUGAAUGAGAAAAAGGAUGCAGGCACCCUCAUUGGAGACAGCUCAGAGCAGAGCUGCAGUGACUAGGGAUGUUAGCUCUGUUUUUAGCUGAGCCAAUCUCCUUUCUCUCCACGAAAGCUCAGUGCAGGGAGAGAAUGUUAUCCAUUAACCUUCCAGUAUGCAGAACCUAGUGUUGUCACCCGGCUCCUGGUGAGUGGUGUCAGACAUGGCUGGCGUUCCUCCAUCGAUAUCUUCAAUUACAGUGGCACUUCAGCCAUUCCUAAGAGCAUUUGCCAUUUACACAGUGGAUUUCUCUACCUGUGUGGAUCUCACUGGCACGAAAAAUGAGCAUGUUUUCUGAAUAUACCCUCAUCUUGGAGAAGAAGCAAUGCCAGAAAGACCAAGAAGCCAGAAUUCUGCAUCUUGCAGGCAAUUCAGAUGAUUUGCACAGUCCUCAUCAUUAAGUUCAUACAGCAAAG
ensembl:lncRNA